AUUGAACGCUGGCGGCAGGCCUAACACAUGCAAGUCGAGCGAGCGGCGGACGGGUGAGUAACGUAUGGGGAACUGCCCGAUAGGGGGGGAUAAAUACUGGAAACCGUGGCUAAUACCGCAUACUAUCGGUUGAACCCAUAUGGGAUUAGCGAGUAGGUGGGGUAAAGGCGCACCAAGGCGACGAUCUCUAGCUGGUCUGAGAGGAUGAUCAGCCACACUGGGACUGAUACACGGCCCAGACUCCUACGGGAGGCAGCAGUGGGGAAUAUUGCACAAUGGGCGCAAGCCUGAUGCAGCCAUGCCGCGUGUAUGAAGAAGGCCUUAGGGUUGUAAAGUACUGUCAUCGGGGAGGCGUUACCCGCAGAGGAAGCACCGGCUAACUCCGUGCCAGCCGCCGCGGUAAUAC
rnacentral:rRNA from 1 species